UACGGAGGGUGCAAGCAUUGAUCGGAAUUACUGGGCGUAAAGCGUGCGCAGGCGGCUUCUCAAGUCAGGGGUGAAAGCCCAGAGCUCAACUCUGGAAUUGCCUUUGAGACUGAGUGGCUUGAGUACGAGAGAGGUGAGUGGAAUUCCCAGUGUAGAGGUGAAAUUCGUAGAUAUUCGCAAGAACACCAGUGGCGAAGGCGGCUCACUGGCCCGAUACUGACGCUGAGGCACGAAAGCGUGGGGAGCAAACAGG
rnacentral:rRNA from 1 species